CCGGUUGAUCCUUCCCCAGGUUACUGCUAUCGGUGUUCGAUUAAGCCAUGCGAGUCAAAUGUUCCUCGUGAACAUGGCGUACUGCUCAGUAACACGUGGAUAACCUGCCCUAAGGUCCGGCAUAACCCCGGGAAACUGGGGAUGAUUCCGGAUGAACCAUAGACACUGGAAUGGUCUGUGGUUAAAAGCUCCGGCGCCUUAGGAUGGAUCUGCGGCCUAUCAGGUAGUAGUGGGUGGAAUGUACCUACUAGCCGACGACGGGUACGGGUUGUGAGAGCAAGAGCCCGGAGAUGGAUUCUGAGACAUGAAUCCAGGCCCUACGGGGCGCAGCAGGCGCGAAAACUUUACAAUGCGGGAAACCGCGAUAAGGGGACACCGAGUGGCAGCAUAUUAUGUUGGCUGGCCAUAUGUGUAAAUAACAUGUGUUAGCAAGGGCCGGGCAAGACCGGUGCCAAGCCGCCGCGGUAACACCGGNCGGCCCGAGUGGUAGCCACUAUUAGUGGGUCUAAAGGGUCCGGUAGCCGGUUUGAUCAGUCUUCCGGGAAAUCUGACAGCUCAACUGUCAGGGCUUCCGGGGGAUACUGUCAGACUUGGGAACCGGAAAAGGUAAGAGUACUACNGGGGGGUAGGAGUGAAAUCUUGGUAAUCCUUGUGGGACANCCAGGGGGCGAGGCGGCUUACCAGAGNCGGUCCCCACGGUGAGGGGACNAAAGCUGGGGG
rnacentral:rRNA from 1 species